CCUACGUGUGGCAGCAGUGGGGAAUAUUGGACAAUGGGCGAAAGCCUGAUCCAGCCAUGCCGCGUGUGUGAAGAAGGCCUUCGGGUUGUAAAGCACUUUCAGUGGGGAAGAAAGCCUUGGGGCUAAUACCCUCGAGGAAGGACAUCACCCACAGAAGAAGCACCGGCUAACUCCGUGCCAGCAGCCGCGGUAAUACGGAGGGUGCGAGCGUUAAUCGGAAUUACUGGGCGUAAAGCGCGCGUAGGCGGUCUGAUAAGCCGGUUGUGAAAGCCCCGGGCUCAACCUGGGAACGGCAUCCGGAACUGUCAGGCUAGAGUGCAGGAGAGGAAGGUAGAAUUCCCGGUGUAGCGGUGAAAUGCGUAGAGAUCGGGAGGAAUACCAGUGGCGAAGGCGGCCUUCUGGACUGACACUGACGCCGAGGUGCGAAAGCGUGGGUAGCAAACAGGAUUAGAUACCCGUGUAGUC
rnacentral:rRNA from 1 species